rnacentral:lncRNA from 1 species
CCGAGCACCGAGCCUCCCCUCGUGCUGAUGACCUGCUCCGGCGCCACCUGCUCCUCCACCGCCUCCAUCCGCCACUCCUCUCAAUUCCACGCGCACCCCUCUCCGUCAGCCCCUGCGCCGCGGCGCAUGCAACCAGCACAACAAGAUAAGCGUAGGCGGCGGCGGCGGCGGCGAGAAGCGUAGGCGGCGGCGGAGGAGGAGGCGGAAGGCGAUAACGCGGCGAGAUGGGAGGAUGCGGGGAGCGGGCGGCCAAUAGGCGAGGCGAG